AAGUCGUAACAAGGUUUCCGUAGGUGAACCUGCGGAAGGAUCAUUAAAGAAACUUCGCUCCCGGGCGGAGUCUUUCUUAACCCGUGUCUACCUUACCUUUGUUGCUUUGGCGGGCCGCCUUCGGGCGUCGGCUCUGGCUGACAGCGCCUGCCAGAGGACCUAACUCUUUUGUUUAGUGAUGUCUGAGUACUAUAAUAAUAGUUAAAACUUUCAACAACGGAUCUCUUGGUUCUG
rnacentral:misc_RNA from 1 species